AACGAACGCUGGCGGCAGGCCUAACACAUGCAAGUCGAGCGCGCCCUUCGGGGUGAGCGGCGGACGGGCGAGUAACGCGUGGGAACGUGCCCUUCUCUGCGGAAUAGCCUCGGGAAACUGAGAGUAAUACCGCAUACGCCCUUUGGGGGAAAGAUUGAUCGGGGAAGGAUCGGCCCGCGUUGGAUUAGGUAGUUGGUGGGGUAAUGGCCCACCAAGCCGACGAUCCAUAGCUGGUUUGAGAGGAUGAUCAGCCACACUGGGACUGAGACACGGCCCAGCCUCCUACGGGAGGCAGCAGUGGGGAAUCUUAGACAAUGGGGGCAACCCUGAUCUAGCCAUGCCGCGUGAGUGAUGAAGGCCUUAGGGUUGUAAAGCUCUUUCAGCUGGGAAGAUAAUGACGGUACCAGCAGAAGAAGCCCCGGCUAACUCCGUG
rnacentral:rRNA from 1 species